ACGGAAGGCAGCAGUGGGGAAUAUUGGGCAAUGGGCGAAAGCCUGACCCAGCAACGCCGCGUGAAGGAAGAAGGUCUUCGGAUUGUAAACUUCUUUUAUGAGGGACGAAGGACGUGACGGUACCUCAUGAAUAAGCCACGGCUAACUACGUGCCAGCAGCCGCGGUAAUACGUAGGUGGCAAGCGUUAUCCGGAUUUACUGGGUGUAAAGGGCGCGUAGGCGGGGAUGCAAGUCAGAUGUGAAAUCUAUGGGCUUAACUCAUAAACUGCAUUUGAAACUGUGUCUCUUGAGUGCUGGAGAGGUAGAUGGAAUUCCUUGUGUAGCGGUGAAAUGCGUAGAUAUAAGGAAGAACACCAGUGGCGAAGGCGAUCCACUGGACAGUAACUGACGCUGAGGCGCGAGAGCGUGGGGAGCAAACAGGAUUAGAUACCCUGGUA
rnacentral:rRNA from 1 species